GACGAACGCUGGCGGCGUGCUUAACACAUGCAAGUCGAACGGAAAGGCCCUGCUUGCGGGGUACUCGAGUGGCGAACGGGUGAGUAACACGUGGGUGAUCUGCCCUGCACUUCGGGAUAAGCCUGGGAAACUGGGUCUAAUACCGGAUAGGAGCCAUUUUUAGUGUGAUGGUUGGAAAGUUUUUUCGGUGUGGGAUGAGCUCGCGGCCUAUCAGCUUGUUGGUGGGGUAAUGGCCUACCAAGGCGGCGACGGGUAGCCGGCCUGAGAGGGUGGACGGCCAACAUGGGACUGAGAUAAGGCCCCGACUCCUACGGGGGGCAGCAGUGGGGAAUAUUGCACCAUGGGCGCAAGCCCGAUGCAGCGAAGCCGCGGGGGGGAUGACGGCCUUCGGGUUGGAAACUCCUUUCGCUAGGGAAGAAGCUUUUUGUGACGGUACCUAGAUAAGAAGCACCGGCUAACUACGUG
rnacentral:rRNA from 1 species